AGGACAAACGCUGGCGGCGUGCAUAAAACAUGCAAGUCGGACGAGCCAAUCCUCGCAAGGGGAAAGGCUAGUGGCGAACGGCUGAGUAACACGUAGGUGAUCUGCCCUGAAGUGGGGGAUAACGACUCGAAAGAGUCGCUAAUACCGCAUGUGACCACCGAUCCGUUUUCGGUGCUCAAAGUCGUAAGACGCUUUAGGAGGAGCCUGCGGCGGAUUAGCUAGUUGGUGAGGUAAUGGCCCACCAAGGCUUCGAUCCGUAGCUGGUCUGAGAGGAUGGCCAGCCAGACUGGGACUGAGACACGGCCCAGACUCCUACGGGAGGCAGCAGUUAGGAAUUUUGCGCAAGUGGGGAACCUGACGCAGCCACGCCGCGUGCGGGAUGAAGGCUUCGGUCGUAACCGCCUUCUCGAGGAAGACACCCGACGUACUCGAGCAUAAGCAACGGCUAACACGUGCCACGCACGCCG
rnacentral:rRNA from 1 species